CCGAGUCCGCCGGUAGAAACAGUGUUCCUCAAACCUGUCCCGUGGAACAGACGGCCCGUUUUCCGUUUCCUGAGUACUUGGAUCUGCAAACACAGCCAUGAAAGCAGCGUUCUUCGUCAUCCUGUCGCUGGCGCUCGCAGCAGCAGCCUUCGCUACCCUCGGCGUAGGGCUGAACCUCGGCUAUGGUGUCGCUUCCCCGUAUGGUGCAUAUGGUGCAUACAGACCAUACGGCUACAGGCCCUACGGCUACGGUGGUCAUGGUUACGGCUACAGACCCUACGGCUACGGUGGCGUCGGUUACGGUUACAGGCCAUACGGCCUCGGCUACGGCUACCCCGGCUACGUUGGCUAGUGCACUGGCACCGCAACGCGCAGGUUUUUCCCGACGAAUGCAACUUCUACAUGGCAAGUUUUAUCGGCCUUCGCACUGCAGUAAAUAAAUUUGAUUGAAACUUAGAA